rnacentral:rRNA from 1 species
AUUCGGCUUAGAGUUUGAUCCUGGCUCAGAGUGAACGCUGGCGGCGUGGAUUAGGCAUGCAAGUCGAGCGAUCCCGCAAGGGAUAGCGGCAGACGGGUGAGCAACACGUGAGUAAUCUGCCCUUAAGUUAGGAAUAGCUUCGUGAAAACGGAGGUAAUGCCUGAUAGUAUUAAUGUAACGCAUGUUAUUUUAAUUAAAGACAGGGACCGCAAGGCCUGUCGCUUAGGGAUGAGCUCGCGUCUUAUCAGCUAGUUGGUAGGGUAAUGGCCUACCAAGGCUUUUGACGAGUAGCUGGUCUGAGAGGAUGGUCAGCCACACUGGGACUGAGACACUGCCCAGACUCCUACGGGAGGCUGCAGUCGAGAAUCUUUAGCAAUGGACGAAAGUCUGACUAUGCGACGCCGCGUGAGGGAUGAAGGUCUUCGGAUCGUAAACCUCUUUUGGCAGGAAAGAAACCUUGCAGGUUAAUAGCCUGCAAGCUGA